AUUGAACGCUGGCGGCAGGCCUAACACAUGCAAGUCGAACGAGUGGCGGACGGGUGAGUAAUGUCUGGGAAACUGCCCGAUGGAGGGGGAUAACUACUGGAAACGGUAGCUAAUACCGCAUACCAUCGGAUGUGCCCAGAUGGGAUUAGCUAGUAGGCGGGGUAAAGGCUCACCUAGGCGACGAUCCCUAGCUGGUCUGAGAGGAUGACCAGGCACCCUGGAACUGAGACACGGUCCAGGCUCCUACGGGAGGCAGCAGUGGGGAAUGUUGCACAAUGGGCGAAAGCCUGAUGCAGCCAUGCCGCGUGUAUGAUGAAGGCCGUCGGGUUGUAAAGUACUUUAAGCGGGGAGGCGUUAACCGCAGAAGAAGCACCGGCUAACUCCGUGCCAGCAGCCGCGGUAAUUC
rnacentral:rRNA from 1 species